ensembl:lncRNA
AUCUAUAAAAUGGGAGAUAUAACCCCUGUCCCACACUCCUUCCCAAGGAGGGGACACAGAAGGUCAUACAAGGCGAGUCUCUCCAUCACUUAUCUGUUGCCACAUUAUCGAUGUUGAACAAAACCCUCAGAAACCACAGCGGCAUACAAUGAAAGAAGCAUAGCCACUGAAGAAUAACUGGUGCAUCUGGGGGUACCUGGUGUGUUUUGCCAAGAUUAUAAGAAAGUUUCUCUGAGCAUCACCAACAGCAAACUUCCACUGCAUCCCUAUUUGGCAGAGGCUGUGAUGCUGUACCCUGGGGAAGAGAACAUGCCAGAGCUGUGCUGUCUGACAUGGUCGCCACUAGCUGCGUGAAUUAAAACCUCUGCUCCUCAGUCACACUAGCACAUGGCCACAUGUGGCUAGUGGCUAUUGUAUAUUACAGAGCAGCUCUGCGAGUGAGAACCGCCCAGAUAAAGUGCAUGAAGUGCCUUCCCCUGGCCUACCACAGAGGAGGGCUCAGAGUGCUGGCUGUGCCACCAGAAACCACUGAAAUCAAGUGGUCUUUUCAGAGAGAACUUUUCAGUUCCCUGCUUCAUGUUGUGC